CACCAUGCUGAAUAUACCGGUUCUCGUUAGAUCACUGAAGUCAAGCAUUAUUGGGCGCGGUCAGUACUUGGGUGGGUGACCACCUGGGAACACCGCGUGCCGUU
rnacentral:rRNA from 1 species